rnacentral:rRNA from 1 species
GUGUCAGCCGCCGCGGUAAUACGUAGGGUGCAAGCGUUGUCCGGAAUUAUUGGGCGUAAAGAGCUCGUAGGUGGUUCGUCGCGUCUGCUGUGAAAGUCCGAGGCUUAACCUCGGAUCUGCAGUGGGUACGGGCGGACUAGAGUGCGGUAGAGGAGAUCGGAAUUCCUGGUGUAGCGGUGGAAUGCGCAGAUAUCAGGAGGAACACCGGUGGCGAAGGCGGAUCUCUGGGCCGUAACUGACGCUGAGGAGCGAAAGCAUGGGGAGCGAACAGGAUUAGAAACCCCCGUAGUCC